ACAAAUUGCUUUCUCUCGAGCGCGCGGUGGCGGCAGCAGGCUCAGCCUCCAGAUGCAGAACGACGCCGGCGAGUUCGUGGACCUGUACGUGCAGCGGAAAUUCUCCGCUAGCAACCGCAUCACAGGUGCCAAGGACAACGCAUCCAUCCAGAUGAACGUGGCCGAGGAUGACAAGGUCACAGGCAGGUUUAACGGCCGGUUUAAAACUUAUGCUAUCUGCGGGGCCAUUCGUAGGAUGGGUGAGUCAGAUGAUUCCAUUCUCCGAUUGGCCAAGGCCAACGGCAUCGUCUCAAACAACUUUUGACUGGAGAAAAUCAUGGAAGUGGAAUAUCUGUCAUAAAUAAAUAGUG